AGAUCCCUGCCUACCUGAGGUCUGCUGAAGGCUGGAUUCUGAGCAGCACAUGAAAGCAAAAGGCACCAUGUCUCAGGACCACCUGGUUUCUUUGCCUAUCCCAGCCCAUUUUGGAAUGCCAGAACAAACACUCCUUAAACAAUCUUCCUGCUCUGGAUGGUGACUUCAAAGCCGGCGUCAGCACUCACUCCAGCAGCCAGGGCAGCCAUAGCCUGCACACAGGGGAGGGCACUGGGACCAUCCAUCCUGCAGCUCUGUUCCAGCUGUUGCUGAUCUCCAGGGGCCAGUAAAAUACUUUGCGGGUCUGCAAUGCACUUUAAAAAUUGCAGUGGGUCUCUUUCCUCAGUGGUAAAUGUGUUCAUGCAGGGAGGAGAAAACUCCUCAGUCAGGAGGCUCUCCCUGGUUGCAGAGCACCCUCUGAACUCUCUUCUACUGCAGGAGCCACAUUUCUGGGACCUGAAUGCAAUGCUGGGAGCUCAGAGGAUAGUCCUGGAGCUCUUCUGGGGUUAGGUCUGCUUGGGGAUUUUUACACUUCAGAGGGAAUUUCUUUAUAGAUUUAAAGAAGAGCUCUGCCAGUGCAUCUCAGCUGGGACCCAUGGCACCCUCUUCCCACCCAUCCCCAGCCUCCAGGCAGCUCGCACAGCAUUCCCUGCUAUCUCAGCCUUCAGCUUUUGCCCAUCUUUUCAAGCAGAACUCCAUCCAGAGCUACAAUAACACCCAGUCUUCUGCAUCUGAAAGCAUACACAAGGCUGAUUCUAGAUUUGUGAUGUGCAAAGGUGAGGAAGGUGCCUCCUUCGGAUGCAAAUACUGUUCUCUAGCACCUGAAAGAACUGAUAUGAAUUUAAUGCACCCUUCCAGGUUCCCUCCGUCCUACUUUUGGAAUACUCCUGGAUUUGUUAUCUGAGUUGCCUGUGGAUCCAGAUCUGCUGUUUUUCAUUGAUAAUGUGUUGGUUCCUCUCUGGAGUGUUGUGUCUCUGCUAUCGGUGGGUGUUUUAUGUGGUUAUCAGAGUUAAAAGCACAGCUCAAGCAUGGCUAGUCAUCUGCUGCAUAGCUUACUGAUUUUGAAUAAGAAGUGAAGGAGCCUUACGUUUUUGUUAUUACUGCGUCCAUCGCUGUUUUCUCACAUCUAUCUAUAUAUAUGUGUAUAUGCUCACUGCUGAAGCUCAAAGGAUUUAACUGGAAACAAGUAUACAUCAUCUGGGAAUAGGACAAAGCACUUCAGAGAUCUGAGCUUCACUUCAGUCACUUUUGGACCUCUCCCCAACAAACGCUUCUGCUGAUAAGGACACAGCAUUGUUAGCUUUGAAUUUUGCACCCAAGGGAGAAGAAAUGAGCAUGGAAUGGCUGCUGCAAAUCAUAAACCAUGGGUUUCCCAAAGGUCUACUGGCAGUUAGGCUUCCUCAGUAGUUUGAGAUGUUGCUGUCAGCUCCCAUUUGUGCAGUGGUUCAACAAAGGGUGGUUGCUUGUUCUGCUCUGGGAAAACAAGUGAAGAAAAGGAUCCAGCAGCAAUGGCGUGGCUGGAUCCGUCCAUAGCUCACCCCACCUCAGCUCUGAACACCUCUCUCAGGCUGCAGGUCAUGGAUCUCAAAGCUCCUCACCCUGCAAAGUGCAAACUGGUUUCCAAUCACCGUGCCUGUGGCUAGGAGGAAAAUAAGAUGCCUGGAGAUGUCUAAAGUCUCACUCAUGAAUUAAAGCGAGUUUUGAAGUUCUGCCAAAAAAGAAGGAUUAGGAAGGGAUUCUUUUUAUCUGCUUUUGAUAUAUGGUUUUUAUUUUUGUUUGGCAUAGAAGCACUGUAGAUCAGUGUCCUUUGUAAAAGCACUGUUAUGAGCUGGGACUAAGGCCUGGUGCAGCAAGGAAAGGAUAGGGAUAAUGGGCAGACAUUCAGAUGUGAUGGCUGUUCAGUUCUUCUGCUGAAGGCUCUUCAGCAUUGGGUUUGCCUGGAUUAGGAGGAGAUGAAGAUGGAUGUUGCUGGUGGAUGCUGCCUGCUACCCAUGUCCCUCAGUGCCACAUCUCCAUGGUUCUUGAGCACCUCCCUGGGCAGCCCAUUCCAGUGCAUCACCACUCUUUCUGAGAAGAAAUUCUUCCUAAUAUGCAACCUGAACCUCCACUGGUGCAACUUAAGGCCAUUCCAUUGCAUCCUGUUGGGAACUUCUGCAUGCCUGAGUGCCUGAAGGUAACCAAGCACGUAUAUGCCUGCACCCAAAUUUACAUGCAACACCUCAGUGUCUGCUUGCUGACACUGCAUCAUUUCAUACCAUAUUCAGCACAGCUGUCAGAUAUUGAUUAAAAACCCUUUUGAUUUUUGUUGUUUAGGAUGAGAGGGGAGAACAAAAUAGAGUAAUAUUCUGCUCUACAGGGUCUUUAUUGGAUCUAAUGGGUUUUAGAGUAGUCAGGAUCCAAAGAGACAAGUUUAGGGAAAAUGAGGGAUCCAUCCAAGGGUGAGCACUAGUAUUGUUAAUGUAGAGUUCCUGUAAAGUGAUUUGAAGAGGGAAACCAAAAGAUUGAGGACAUGACUGACAUGAAAUUCUCUGAAAGAGGGCACUUGGUGCAGAACUCCUACAGAAACAAUGCAGCCAGGCUGCAGUUCUGCGUGUUUGGGUACAUCAAGUUGCAAUUGAAGUUAUGGUCAGAGUAGUGCCUCUGUGCCAGGAAGGAGCAGCACCUGCACUGGUGCCUCAUCUCAACAUUGGUCUGCUUCUUCUCCAGGGCUUUAAGCCAAGGCAGAUGUCAGCAUCGGAAACAGUGGUGGGAGAGGAAGCAGGAAUACGUAAUACGAGGUAGUCUUUUGCAGUGUUGACAAGCUGGGUUAUCUAAUAAUUGGAUUAAUUAAUUAAUGUCUAGUCAACACCUAACAUAAUGAGCUGUUCAGGUUUCUGGUUGCCUGUUUCAUGGCUCAUGUUCUCGGUAUGAACACUGUGACCUCUCUGCCUCCGUAAAGGUUAUCCGUGUUGGAUCCUACUGCAGCUUCUUGUCACAGACCUCCUGCUUAUGCAGUGGAGCUCGACCUGGCUCUAUAGUCUGUGCAAUUCUGAUGUGGAUUUGAAACUCCUAAAAUCCUCAGGAUAGAGGGACUGAAAAUCAACUCAUUCUUUUGGAUUUCCGUACUGAACCUCCAUCUUCAAGGGACAAAGAAUGCUACAACAGAGGAACGAUUAGGACAUUAUCUGGCAGUGCUCCUAGUAAUGAAUUAUCAUCAUUUCUGACCAUAUAGGGUAUUAAAGCUCACAGUCCAAAACUGUUUUAUUAAGAAAGCAGCAUGAAAUCUAUAUUUUGCAUGUGAUAAAACUUUAUAUUUGCCAGCACUGAAAUGAACUUGUCGCUGUGUGUUGUAUUGAGAAACUGCUGCUUGCAUUUUAACCUGUUUUGCAAAAUGCAAGGAAAGCACCUUUUAAAUACUCACCUAAUGUUCCUGAAGAAUUGAAAGCACUUAACAAAGAAGAAAAAGUGAGCUACAGCAGGGCUGAUAUCACUUCUUGUUUGCAGCAAUGAAAGCAAAACUGAAAGGAUUUCUGAGUUACAGGAGUGAUGUUUCACUUUAUGUAAGUUGAAGGCCGACGUCUGGGGAUGCAUGACAAACUCUUGUACUGAAUGGAUGUUCCACUGAUGCUAUAGGAGAUCAUCCUCAGCACAGUGCCUGUUACCAUAUCUCCUAGGUUUUGAACACUCCAAGCUGGUCUGGAUAUGGUUUGAACGUGCAGAAAACCUCAGGGUUCGUACAACACACUUGGCCAGGACACUGGGCAGUGUCAGCCUCAUCCCAGGACACUGCUGCAAGCUUCCCAGCCUUGUGCAGAAUGUCUGAAGAUUCUUUCAAAUUUGUACAUGCUGACGUAAACAGAGCCCCUUGCUGCGGAAAUAAAACUGCAGGGAAUUUCUGGCAGUGUUUGGAAUGAUACAUAGUUUUGUGGUGACCUCUCCAUAGCAAGCACAAAGUUCUGUAUCUGCUUGGCACCAAGCAAAAUGUUUGGCAUGACUUGAAACGCCCUGAGAACCAUAGUCACCUCUUAAGGUCCUUGUCCCAACUGAUCCCUGCAGAAGCAGUGAAAAGGCAUCAUUGCUCUUUUUUUAAUCCAGGAGAAGCUGAAUGAUGGAAAGGUUAAGCGAGUUUCUCAGGGACACAUAGGAAAUCAAUAGCAGAACAGAACCUCCUAGCCAUAUUUCCUAAACAUCCCAUGCACACCCUUAAAGAAACUUUAAAGGAGGUUUCAUCCUACUGCCAAGCAGAUGCUGGGCUUCCCCAGCCACACAGCUGAGCACCCAUAGCUGUUGGACAGCUCCAGCCCCACAUCGCACCCAUGGCUCUCCCCCUCAAUGCUGCCCUGUGGUUUCAGCUCAUUUCCUGGAGUGCAGAAAAAAAGAAAGCCCUGGGGUUCAGCAGCAGUCUGACAACAGCUGACCUUUAUAUGAUAAGCAAUGUUCCUCAGCAGUGUGCAUCAGUUUGCAUCAGUUUAUAUUUAUUUUGCUCGUCUCUUGUAAGCAUCCAAUGUGAAGCUGAUUGGAUGGGACAGGCAGGAUCUCAGCAUCUUGAAGUAAUCUGUAAGGAGCCGGCAGCAGAGAGUCAUUAGCAGUUUCUAUGGACAGCUUUGAGGAAUUUGUCUGUGCUAAAGACUGUUCUCAUGUCAGAGGAUUGAGAAAGGCUCGGCGAGCAGGGUUGUGUUUGUCUUGGAAGAUCUUUGGGGAAUCACAGGGCGAGUUGGAAGAGACUGAUAGAAAUCUCCCCAUCCAGGCUUCUACGUGAGCCUCUGAGAAGAUGCUGCUCUUCCAGUGUCCCUCUAUCUCUUCUGAUUAACUCACUGCUAAAAGGUGAUGUCAUGGACUCAUCCUCACUGCGUUUAUCCAAGUAUGCAGCAUGUUUCUUCCUGUAAAAAUGACAAAAUGCCACCGAAAUUGGGGCAUGAUUUAGGGAC
ensembl:lncRNA